GUCAUGGUUACCUCCCCACCUCCCCAGCUGCAAGGAGGAUUCAUCCGGCAACCAGUUGAGGCUAGAUUCUCAGCAGCUUUAUUGAAUAUUGAGAGGUGGUCUCACCUCCCACUGGACAUGUGUCCUCAAGUUCAUACCAGAACUUCUUUGGGACAGACAGACAGACAGGUCCUUCUCCAGGAAGCUCAAGUGGCCUUCCACGUCCCCCGCAUGGGGGCCCAGUUUCUGCCUGAGCUGUUCCAUCUGCUGCACCAGGGCUUUGUUGAAGUUUUCCCCGUAGGGCUCCACCCGGCGUCGGAACUCCUCCACCUGCUGGUCCAGGUGCCCACCCAGCUCUGCCAGUGACUUCUGCAGCCCCUCGGUGUUGCCCCUCAGGUUGCCACGCACGUCCUCGGCCAAGGGCGCCAGCCUCUGCCGCAGCUCCUCGGCACUGGCCGAGAUCCUGGCCUUGAGCUCCUCGGCGUUCUUCUUCAUCUGGAAGGUCAGGCCCUCAAGCUGGUGGUUGAGCUUCUCCUGCGUGUCCUGAGCAUAGGGAGCCAGGCUGCGGCGCAGCUCCUCCACGGUCUGGUCAAUCUUGACUUUGAAUUCGUCAGCGUAGGGCGUAAGGCGUCCCUUGAGCUCCUCCACGUUCUGGUCGAUCUUGGCCUUGAGCUCGUCGGCGUGGGGCCUCAGCGAGGCCUGCAGGCUGUC
rnacentral:lncRNA from 1 species